GACGAACGCUGGCGGCGUGCCUAAUACAUGCAAGUAGAACGCUGAAGGAGGAGCUUGCUUCUCUGGAUGAGUUGCGAACGGGUGAGUAACGCGUAGGUAACCUGCCUGGUAGCGGGGGAUAACUAUUGGAAACGAUAGCUAAUACCGCAUAAUAGUAGAUGUUGCAUGGCAUUUGCUUAAAAGGUGCAAUUGCAUCACUACCAGAUGGACCUGCGUUGUAUUAGCUAGUUGGUGGGGUAACGGCUCACCAAGGCGACGAUACAUAGCCGACCUGAGAGGGUGAUCGGCCACACUGGGACUGAGACACGGCCCAGACUCCUACGGGAGGCAGCAGUAGGGAAUCUUCGGCAAUGGACGGAAGUCUGACCGAGCAACGCCGCGUGAGUGAAGAAGGUUUUCGGAUCGUAAAGCUCUGUUGUAAGAGAAGAACGAGUGUGAGAGUGGAAAGUUCACACUGUGACGGUAUCUUACCAGAAAGGGACGGCUAACUACGUG
rnacentral:rRNA from 1 species